GAUGGGUGGCGUGGGGUCGGGCCAGCUCAGCUGCAUCUUUGUCCAAUCGUGUCCCGCUGUCUCUCCUACCUACACCGGCCCCGCACCCUGUCCCUUCUCCCCUUUCUACAUGUUGCUCAGUGCUCCUGC